rnacentral:rRNA from 1 species
CAUGCAAGUCGAACGAAGUAGCAAUACUUAGUGGCAGACGGGUGAGUAACAUGUAGGUAUCUACCCUUUGGCCUGGAAUAACACGAGGAAACUUGUGCUAAUACCGGAUAAGUCUUUACGGAGAAAGCUUUAUGCACCAUUGGAUGAGCCUGCACUUGAUUAGUUUGUUGGUGGGGUAAUGGCCUACCAAGACUGUGAUCAAUAGCUGAUUUGAGAGGAUGAUCAGCCACAUUGGGACUGAGACACGGCCCAAACUCCUACGGGAGGCAGCAGUGGGGAAUCUUGCACAAUGGAGGAAACUCUGAUGCAGCGAUGCCGCGUGAGUGAAGAAGGCCUUUGGGUUGUAAAGCUCUUUCGUCGGGGAAGAAAAUGACUGUACCCGAAUAAGAAGGUCCGGCUAACUUCGUGCCAGCAGCCGCGGUAAUACGAAGGGACCUAGCGUAGUUCGGAAUUACUGGGCUUAAAGAGUUCGUAGGUGGUUGAAAAAGUUGGUGGUGAAAUCCCAGAGCUUAACUCUGGAACUGCCAUCAAAACUUUUCAGCUAGAGUGUGAUAGAGGAAAGCAGAAUUUCUAGUGUAGAGGUGAAAUUCGUAGAUAUUAGAAAGAAUACCGAUUGCGAAGGCAGCUUUCUGGAUCAUUACUGACGCUGAGGAACGAAAGCAUGGGUAGCGAAGAGGAUUAGAUACCCUCGUAGUCCAUGCCGUAAACGAUGUGUGUUAGACGUUGGAGAUUUAUUUUCAGUGUCGCAGCGAAAGCGAUAAACACACCGCCUGGGGAGUACGACCGCAAGGUUAAAACUCAAAUGAAUUGACGGGGACCCGCACAAGUAGUGGAGCAUGUGGGUUUAAUUCGAAGAUACGCGCAGAACCUUACCAACACUUGACAUGUUCGUCGCGACUUUAAGG